rnacentral:lncRNA from 1 species
GAUGGUCACUAGUGGUGAAACCCUGAAUUGCCCAUAAGCAUCUGGCCCGUGUGGAGGGCAACAAUUUCUUCCAGAUCAGUGGAUAAAAUGCUUGUUUCAGACUUUUGUCUAUAACUUGACCCUGGAAAUUAUUCUUUCUUGCCCUACAUUCCAGCCUGGAUGGACUCAGAAGUUAAGAACCACACCGUAAAGAUCUAUUUCACCAGCAUCUCACCGUAAAGAUCUAUUUCACCAGCAUCUCUGUCCCCUCAUUACAGUAAGCUCUCUUCUGUCAUCUUCCUGUCUCAGAGCUCUGCUUGGAGACCAGUUGAUGAGAUCCAUACCUCUGUACCAAGCUGUGUGACAAAAGCUGUGGGUCAAGUACUGCCCAAGGAAAUUUUACAGGACAACACAGAAGACAAAGCACCAGUGAGGUUACAAAUGUCAGAAUACCUGGUUUGUUUUGGUUUGAAGAAUUUAAGGUGGGAAUCUGGAAGAAUAUUCAAGUAUUUUACUCUUGCAGGUGAAUUUCCCCCAUGUUCUUUGAGAUUCUCAUGAAUUAGGAACUGUGUGCAUCUGCACUGGACAAUUCUCAAUGUGCACACUAGGAUG